rnacentral:rRNA from 1 species
AGGACCCGUCUUGAAACACGGACCAAGGAGUCUAACAUGUGCGCGAGUCAUUGGGACUUUGUACUAAGCCUAAAGGCGCAAUGAAAGUGAAGGUCGACCAUUGAGCGUCGACCGAGGGAGGAUGGCUCGCGUCACGAUGCGAGCCCGCACUCCCGGGGCGUCUCGUGCUCAUUGCGAGCAGAGGCGCACCCAGAGCGUACACGUUGGGACCCGAAAGAUGGUGAACUAUGCCUGGUCAGGACGAAGUCAGGGGAAACCCUGAUGGAGGUCCGUAGCGAUUCUGACGUGCAAAUCGAUCGUCGGAACUGGGUAUAGGGGCGAAAGACUAAUCGAACCAUCUAGUAGCUGGUUCCCUCCGAAGUUUCCCUCAGGAUAGCUGGCACUCGCUUGAGCGAGUCUCAUCUGGUAAAGCGAAUGAUUAGAGGCCUUGGGGCCGAAACGACCUCAACCUAUUCUCAAACUUUAAAUGGGUGAGAUCUCUGGCUUGCUUGAACGUUGAAGCCACGAGAUGAAUUUUUUUUCAUUGGAUCAGAGUGCCAAGUGGGCCAAUUUUGGUAAGCAGAACUGGGCGCUGUGGG